rnacentral:rRNA from 1 species
ACGAACGCUUGCGGCGUGCUAAGAAAUGCAAGUCGAGCGGACUGGCAAGGCUUCGGUUUUGUCAGUUUAGCGGCGAACGGUCGCGUAACACGUAGGCAACCUGCCCCAAAGACCGGGACAACAGGGGGAAACUCUUGCUAAUACCGGAUGUGGCCCAGAGGAGACCUCUCUUCUGGAUUAAACCCUCGCAAGGGGGCUUUGGGAGGGGCCUGCGGCCUAUCAGCUAGAUGGUGAGGUAACGGCUCACCAUGGCGACGACGGGUAGCUGGUCUGAGAGGAUGGUCAGCCGGACUGGGACUGAGACACGGCCCAGACUCCUACGGGGGGCAAGCAAUUAGGAAUCUUGUACAAUGGGCGCAAGCCUGAUACAGCGACGCCGCGUGGAGGAGGACGGCCUUCGGGUUGUAAACUCCUUUUGUCAGGGAAGAAGGAUGUGACGGUACCUGACGAAUAAGCCCCGGCUAACUCCGUGCCAGCAGCCGCUGGUAAUACGGAGGGGGCGAGCGUUGUCCGAAGUUACUGGGCGUAAAGCGCGCGUAGGCGGGAGGGAAAGUCCGCUGUGAAAGCCCGAGGCUCAACCUCGGCGGGUCGGUGGAUACUUCCUCUCUUGAAGGUGCUAGGGGGAGAUGGAAUUACCGGUGUAGCGGUGAAUAAUGCGUAGAUAUCGGUAGGAACACCAGUGGCGAAGGCGGUCUCCUGGGGCAUUCUUGACGCUGAGGCGCGAAAGCUGGGGGAGCGAACGGGAUUAGAUACCCCGGUAGUCCCAGCCCUAAACGAUGGAUACUAGGUGUCGGGGGUAUCGACCCCCCCGGUGCCGCCGCUAACGCAGUAAGUAUCCCGCCUGGGGAGUACGGCCGCAAGGUUGAAACUCAAAGGAAUUGACGGGGGCCCGCACAAGCGGUGGAGCAUGUUGUUUAAUACGUCACGAACCGUAGAACCUUACCAGGGCUUGACAUCUGGCGCACCGGUGUGAAAGCAUCGUUCCCGGAAACGGGACGCCAAGACAGGUGUUGCAUGGCUGUCGUCAGCUCGUGUCGUGAGAUGUUGGGUUAAGUCCCGCAACGAGCGCAACCCUCAUCCCAUGUUGCCAGCGGAUGAUGCCGGGAACUCUUGGGAAACUGCCGGGGGUAACUCGGAGGAAGGUGAGGAUGACGUCAAUGUCAGCAUGGCCCUUACGCCCUGGGCUACAAACAUGCUACAAUGGACGGUAGACAGAGGGAUCAAGACCGUGAGGUGGAGGCAAUCCCACAAAUCCGUUCUCAGUUCGGAUUGCAGGCUGCAACUCGCCUGCAUGAAGUCGGAAUCGCUAGUAACCGCAGAUCAGCGAAGCUGCGGUGAAUACGUUCCCGGGCCCUUGUACACACCGCCCGUCACGUCACCUGAGUUGUCUGCACCCGAAGCCGGUGGGGUAACCGCAAGGAGCCAGCCGUCGAAGGUGUGGGGAGCGAGGGGGGACG